AACGAACGCUGGCGGCGUGGAUAAGACAUGCAAGUCGAACGGGACUAAAUCUGUAGCAAUACAGGUUUAGUUUAGUGGCGAACGGGUGCGUAACACGUGGGCAAUCUGCCGAGAAGUGGGGGAUAGCUCGCCGAAAGGCGAAUUAAUACCGCAUAUGAUCAGGGAAGACAUCUUCCCAACAUCAAAGCCGGGGCAACCUGGCGCUUCUUGAUGAGCCCGCGGCCUACAGCUAGUUGGUGAGGUAACGGCUCACCAAGGCUAUGACGGGUAGCUGGUCUGAGAGGACGACCAGUCACACUGGAACUGAGAC
rnacentral:rRNA from 1 species